rnacentral:rRNA from 1 species
CCUACGGGUGGCAGCAGUGAGGAAUAUUGGUCAAUGGACGCAAGUCUGAACCAGCCAAGCCGCGUGCAGGAAGACGGCUCUAUGGGUUGUAAACUGCUUUUGUACAGGGGUAAACGCAGAUACGCGUAUCUGUCUGAAAGUAUCGUACGAAUAAGGAUCGGCUAACUCCGUGCCAGCAGCCGCGGUAAUACGGAGGAUUCAAGCGUUAUCCGGAUUUAUUGGGUUUAAAGGGUGCGUAGGCGGGCGGUUAAGUUAGAGGUGAAAGCCCGAGGCUCAACCUCGGAAUUGCAUUUGAUACUGGUAGGCUAGAGAGCAGUUGCGGUAGGCGGAAUGCAUGGUGUAGCGGUGAAAUGCUUAGAGAUCACACAGAACACCGAUUGCGAAGGCAGCCUACCAAGCUACUUCUGACGUUGAGGCACGAAAGCGUGGGGAGCAAACAGGAUUAGAUACCCGGGUAGUC